ensembl:lncRNA
GGGAAGCAAAAAUAUAUUUGGGGAUUUAUUGCCGGCGAGGAAAUAAUUGGCAAUGUUGGCACCUCGGGCCAGGUGGAAAUGGUCUUUCCUUCCUUCUGUGCAAGCAGGAACUGCCGUGGGUCUGAACGAGGGGGACACUGCUAUUGCUCACACAGAAGCCAUCUCCUGGUAUCCAGGGGCCCAUCCUCAUGGUUCUCGCCUGGGGCUCCUAUUUGUACAAGAGAAUUCCAGGGGGGAGGGUCAUCUUGGUGGGCUGUGGCCUACAGGAGGACCUGGCUUCAAUUCCCUCCGGAGGGAGCCCCAGGAGCUUCACCCAGAUUAUGGGGGUUGGAGGCAGGGAGACAGCACACAGCUAGGAGCUGCCCAGCCCUUGACUCAGGAAGCCGGGGCUGCUGGACCUGCAGUGGGAUCAGAGAGGGCAUGGCUGAGCGGACCCAGGCUGGGUGGGCCCCACUUCACAGUGAAGCCUGCCCGUUUUCAGGGGCACCCUGUGCCACUGGCUAUGGCCGAGGAGGAGCUGCUAAAUAGCGUGGAAGGCAAGAACUCCCACAACAGAGGAGGCUGAGCUGGGGCUGAAGGGCCAUGCUGGUGCUGCUUGGAGUCUCCACCACUGGGAGCAUAGCUCGCCUGGGCGCCGGGCGCUGAGCUGUGCGCUUUCUGUUCUUUAUUGCCUUGAAACGUCACACUGGCCUUAAGAAAUGGAUACUCUUACUACCUUUUGCAGGUGAGUCACCUGAGGCUUAGAGAAGUUAAAUGACGUGCCCAGCAUCACACACCUACCAAUGUCAGACCUGCAACCAGGCCCAA